rnacentral:rRNA from 2 species
GUCUCCAGCCAUACCACCCUGAACGUGCCCGGUCUCGUCUGAUCUCGGAAGCUAAGCAGGGUCGAGCCUGGUUAGUACUUGGAUGGGAGAUUUAUAGCAGUUCCAGUUACUUAGUACA